ACGUAGGGUGCGAGCGUUAAUCGGAAUUACUGGGCGUAAAGCGUGCGCAGGCGGUUUUGUAAGUCAGAUGUGAAAUCCCCGAGCUCAACUUGGGAACUGCGUUUGAAACUACAAGACUAGAGUAGGUCAGAGGGGGGUAGAAUUCCACGUGUAGCAGUGAAAUGCGUAGAGAUGUGGAGGAAUACCAAUGGCGAAGGCAGCCCCCUGGGAUCAUACUGACGCUCAUGCACGAAAGCGUGGGGAGCAAACAGGAUUAGAUACCCUGGUAGUCCACGCCCUAAACGAUGUCAACUAGUUGUUGGUAGAGUAAAAUCUAUGAGUAACGCAGCUAACGCGUGAAGUUGACCGCCUGGGGAGUACGAUCGCAAGAUUA
rnacentral:rRNA from 1 species